UACGUAGGUCCCGAGCGUUGUCCGGAUUUAUUGGGCGUAAAGCGAGCGCAGGUGGUUUAUUAAGUCUGGUGUAAAAGGCAGUGGCUCAACCAUUGUAUGCAUUGGAAACUGGUAGACUUGAGUGCAGGAGAGGAGAGUGGAAUUCCAUGUGUAGCGGUGAAAUGCGUAGAUAUAUGGAGGAACACCGGUGGCGAAAGCGAUUCUCUGGACUGUAACUGACGCUGAGGCUCGAAAGCGUGGGGAGCAAACAGG
rnacentral:rRNA from 1 species